rnacentral:rRNA from 1 species
AUUGAACGCUGGCGGCAGGCCUAACACAUGCAAGUCGAACGAGUGGCGGACGGGUGAGUAAUGUCUGGGAAACUGCCUGAUGGAGGGGGAUAACUACUGGAAACGGUAGCUAAUACCGCAUACCAUCGGAUGUGCCCAGAUGGGAUUAGCUAGUAGGUGGGGUAAAGGCUCACCUAGGCGACGAUCCCCAGCUGGUCUGAGAGGAUGACCAGACACACUGGAACUGAGACACGAUCCACACUCCUACGGUAGUCAGCAGUGGGGAAUAUAGCACAAUGGGGGCAAGCCUGAUGCAGCCGUGCCGCAUUGAUGAAGAAGGCCUUGGGGUUGUAAAGGACUUUCAGCGGAGAGGCGUUACCCGCAGGGGAAGCACCGACUAACUCCGUGCCAGCAGCCGCGGUAAUAC